CGUUACUUUUUUCCAUGAGCCGUGGAACAGGAGUUAGGUAGUAGCAAACCCUUACCACGGUGGUUCUCGAAACCAGCCGCCGCAACUAUCCCCCACCCCCACUGCUGUGGAAGGCUGCGCUGGCUCCGGCUAACCGGCGAUGGAAGAUCCUGCUGGACUCUGUCGACAUGUUCCCACUAUGAUGCGGACAACUUGGACCACCCGGAUCCGGUUCCUCUGGCGGAUCUCCAGCGGAUUGCCGACACAAGCGCUGACCCGGUUCCUGGUGCGGCGAGCGUGUUGGGGGCGCAAUACAGGGCAGGUAGGAAGGCGACGGGCGCCGCCGGUGGGAGGCUUCUUCGAGGCAGGGCAGGUAGGAAGGUGAAUCCAGAGGCGCGUGGAUGGACAAACAGGUGCGGCCUGAAGCUAGCCAUUGCAGGGCACCAGCUAUUUACUGUUUGUUGAAUGCUACUAUGUUUGACGUACGCCGCCUUGAAAUUCGCUGCCAUACUUUCUGUAAGUUCGACUAGCUGAAUGAACGGCAUGAAGAUGAUCGUUCAUGUGGCUUGUGUAGGAUGCGAACAGGUAAAUUUUGGUAAGAUAGCUUAUGCUCCCACACCGUAAUUGGUCCCAUGAUGCAGAAUUUAGAAACAGACAUAUAGAUGCUGCUUAAAAUUAUUGGAAAGUGGCGAGUGUAAGGAGCUGUGUGUGUGUAGUCAGCUAAACGAUUAAGUCUGAACUCGAAGCGCACACGUUGAAACAAAGAAGACAGAAAUCUGAUUGUGAGUAGUGUCACUCAGGAUUUUGUAUUUUCUGCCACACCAUUCAUACUGAAUUUGCCUUUCAUGUUUCCCACUGUGUGUUUCAACUUUGUAUCUGCAAUUUUGUAUAGAUGGUUUGUGAGUACUGAAAGCAUUUGAAUAUGUUUCUUGAGAAAUGUUAGCAUGGCACCAUGCAAAGCGUGGUCCCAUCCGAUAUUCCACCACCAUUCCUGCUAGUCAGCAUUUCAUUUCCACCCCCUGCGCCUCCACCUCCUCCACUUAUCUUUCUAUGUAAGCAACUGCAUCAACCAGAUCACUGAGAUCAGAUCAGAUGAGAUACACGCACUGGGUUUGGAUGUAGAUAGGUCCACGGUUCUAUCAGAUCUUCACCAAAUGCAUGCACUAAUGUACCAGUAGUAUUUGGUGGAAGUCAUGUACACUAUUACUUGUUUUCUGGUCAUGUACUACAGCAGCAUCCCCUUGUUGUCCGUAUAAAUAACACUACUCCAGAAAUGGUUUUCCUUCUGUGAUGAUAUGCAUCACACACGGAUUCAAGAUUAACCCGUACAUGUUAAGUGUCAUCAGAGACACACAAAACUAAUACUAGGUAUUAACAUGUCUAGUUAUGGGAGUGUCGUUAUAUCGCCGUUCUUUUGCUUAUUUGUGCAUCCUGAUAUUUACUCCCUCUGUAAAGAAAUAUAAGAUUGUUUAGAUCACUAAUUUAUUUUUGGACAAAAAUGAUGUCUUAUCAGCAUAUACACCACUUUGAACAUCGAGUCAACCUCGUCACUUCAUAUCACUUGAUGGCAAAAUGAAAAAUGAUGCAUCCCAAGAAACAGCACACAGGUUGCAUGGUGAAACUUAGCUUAUUGUGUGACAAUUUCCUGCUUCAAAUUAAUGGUGACAUAUAGUGUACAAAAAGAAAUAAUCAGAUGUGACAUGAGGUGCAUUACAGCCUAGUUAGUAGCGUAUAAGACGAUUUUUGGAUUACUAACUGACAUAAGUAAUCGUUACUCCCUCCGUCCCACAAUAUAUGACGUUAUUACAUCCAAUAUGCUCACAUAACGUCUUAUAUUAUGGGAUGGAGGGAGUACUUACUAAAAAAAGAUGGAGAAUGGCGUUUGGGGAUAUGUAUGAAUCUCGUGUGUACCCCGUUUUCUCAGCUCGCUGAUGGAGACCAUGUUAGCUAAUUUUUUUUGUGAGACUACCUUCAAAAUUUCUUCACAAUCAUGUUUAAUUCUAGCCAUUGUUUUUACCUACAAUUCACAAGAUACAGGACAAUGUGUGAGGUUGCAUUUACCAGCAACGAAGCUCACAUUGUAUAAUUUUAUGUAUAUACGUCAUCAUGUAUACCACAAAUGAUAUAGGCAGACAUAUUUUAAUAUUUCAGAAGAGUGUGGCGUCGAAAGAUCAAGUGGUGUUGACAAGCAAAUGGAAAUGUGCGAAGCCAUGCAUGGACCAGAGACAACAGGUGUGGAAUGCCAUUGAAGAGCAAGAGAAAUUCGAGAAGCAGGAGAAGAAACGAAGGCAGAAGGAGAUUAAUUGUCCAAAUUAGCACUGAAGUUGCAGCGGGACAAAUUAGCCCCAGUUCUCUCUUGUGGGUUUAAUUAUGAAUGGUAAUAUUUACACUGGCAUGCUUAGUUAUGAAUGCUAUGUGAUCUAGACAUAUCACAAUAAAAGAUUUUACUCUUAUUUUGCCAAGCUAACAACAUGGAUCAUGUGUGGUGUUGCACCAUCUUUUGUGUCCAGGUUAUAUGUUCUAGUUGGUAGAUUAUAAACUUUGUUGGAUUUUGCCUUAA